rnacentral:rRNA from 1 species
UACGAAGGGGGCUAGCGUUGUUCGGAUUUACUGGGCGUAAAGCGCACGUAGGCGGAUCGAUCAGUCAGGGGUGAAAUCCCAGAGCUCAACUCUGGAACUGCCUUUGAUACUGUCGAUCUGGAGUAUGGAAGAGGUGAGUGGAAUUCCGAGUGUAGAGGUGAAAUUCGUAGAUAUUCGGAGGAACACCAGUGGCGAAGGCGGCUCACUGGUCCAUUACUGACGCUGGGGUGCGAAAGCGUGGGGAGCAAACAGG